rnacentral:rRNA from 1 species
AUACGGAGGGGGCUAGCGUUGUUCGGAAUUACUGGGCGUAAAGCGCGCGUAGGCGGCUGGGCAAGUCGGAUGUGAAAGCCCUCGGCUCAACCGAGGAACUGCGUCCGAUACUGCUCGGCUUGAGUUCGGUAGGGGGUGGCGGAAUUCCCGGUGUAGCGGUGGAAUGCGUAGAUAUCGGGAGGAACACCGAUGGCGAAGGCGGCCACCUGGGCCGACACUGACGCUGAGGCGCGAAAGCUAGGGGAGCAAACAGGAUUAGAUACCCCAGUAGUCC